UGUGAGGAGUGUAGAAUGGGAUUUUUAGAGUGCUAAUAACAGUUCCCUAUAUAUUAUUCUUUUAUAAUUGAUGCUAGUAGUUUCUAAUUCAUGCUCUACAACCUGGAAUGCCCUACACCUUGCAUAUUUUUCAUGUUUUGUUUGAUAUUCAUUUGGAUUUUAUUAUUGCUGCUGUCAUGGUUGAUGAUUUUAGAAUGCUUGAUUCUUUUGUCUAUCAACAAAUUGCCAAAAGGGUUUAAUUAAUUUGAAUUUUGACUCUGAUAAAAACAUUCAAGCAUGCUAGUGUUCGAUUAAAUGGUAGUGUGAAUGAAAUGACAUUCCUAGUUCAUGAAUGUGUUCUUGAAUUAUUUGAAGAAUAAUUCAUAAUUUCAUAUUUUAAUUUGGGAUUCCCGAUUUGUCCCAAAAUCCUGAAGUUUGGGAUUCCCGAAAAUUUGGUUUGGGAUUGGUCUUCAAAUUCCCGUCCCGAAAAAUUUCAGUUUGGAAUUCGGGAUACUAGUUUUGGUUCGGUAUCCCAUACCGAACCAUCCCUAUGUUUUCCAUAUGGAAAAUUGGAGGAAACUUAUUUUUAUUUGUUUGGUUUUUUUCUUUUUAAUUUUUAGUGAAACAUUAAGAUAUCAAUUUGCAGGUUUUGCGAAUUACUUUCCAUAUCAAGAAAUUGAUCGCUGUCCUACUAAACCAGUGAAAUCCUUGAAUUGGAUAAUAAUUUAAGUUGUUAUUUAUAAAUUGUGUCACAACAAUAAUAUAACUGCUCUCGUAUUUAAGAGAAACUGAGAAGAUGAGAUAAGUGGUUAAAUUAAUUUGUGGUAGGAAAUUGCCAAAGUGCUAAUACGUGACUUGAUAUUUUUGUUCUGAUUUCUUAGUUGAUGUUCAUAUAAUUCUUGGGUCCCUAAGGCUCCUACUCUUCCUACUUGUAAAUGUCACUUGGAUAUGUCUAUACAACUCGUAUAUCUAAUGAUAUUAUCAUCUGUUGUGUAUCACUCUGAUGCGGUCUUUUGCGUACAGAUUUGGUGAAACUGGUUGAUGAUAUCGCUGCAGUUUUGCUCUUGCACUUGCUGCUGCAUCUUCACUCCUUCGAGUCAUCGGAGGAGCGCUAGCUGGUCACGCUGUUGCAACUUGGCCAUUGCGUACGUGGGAGGUGUUAGGCCAUUGCGUGCGUGGGAGGUGUUCUUUCUCUAGUGUUUGCUGCUGUAACACUGGUUAAGAUUGUAAGUUAAAGGGAAUAAGAUACCCAUAUCCUUUUUAUCUGAUCAAAACUCAGAAGCACAUUGUUGGUUGUAAUUAUUGACAUUCUGUCCCUACUUAAUCAGUUUAUUAGUACAAACUUUGAUUCUUUGAGUGAAA